rnacentral:tRNA from 1 species
GGUCGUAUAGCUCAACAGGUAGAGCAAACCCUUGGAAAGAGAUGAAUUACACUGUCUUUUUCCAAGGUUUGAUGAAGGUUCGAGUCCUUCUGCGACCACAA